UCCCCAAUUCUCUCUCUCGCUCUCUCGCUCUCUCUCUCGCUCGCGAGUAUCAACGCUCAGAGAAUUCACGGAUUCGCGUCUCAAGCACAUCUCUUGCUUCAAAUUCUCUAGAAAUCAGGUGGGUUUUCUAUUUGUAGUGAGUAUGUGAUUUCUUGAGGGAAAUAGUUCACCCUUGCCUCAGAUUUCAAUUCAAUUGCAGCAAUUUACAUUUGAAAUAGCCCAUCAAUCCAGAGCAAUCCCACCGCCAUUGAUUGGAAGAGAUGUGCUCGGAGCUGCAAGGAUGGGGUCCGCGAAGGGAAGACUCUUGCUUUUCUAGUACCAGCUAUUGAGUUGUUAUAUAACAUAAGCUUUUCUCCUCGCAAUGGAACUGAUGUUGUCGUCAUUUGCCCAACUAGGGAACUCGUAAUUCAGGUAAUGCUGUUACUUGCUAUGCGUACAAAAUUGCAAUCGAUUUCAUAGUAAAGACUGGACCGAUGUAUGAUCUGAGUAACACUAGCCAAAUGGACAAUCGUUGCAGCAUAAAUUACCCACAGAGAGAGACUGAGAGAGAGAGAGAGAGAGAGAGAGAGAGCCUCUGGCAAAAGCUAUGCUGAUGACAAAGCUAGCAAAAGUAUGAAGGGAAUCAUGUAAGCAGCGCAGCCUUUGUGGUGAACCAUUUUAUUAUAGAGGGAAGGAUGAACUGUGCAACUAACUACGUACUUUUGCCCCUUUAUAUAGCUACUUUGGUAUAACGUCUUAGUUUUUAUCAAUUUGUGAAAGCUGUGUAUAAGUGUAUUGGACGCAAGCCAAGGUCAAGA